rnacentral:rRNA from 1 species
UGGGGAAUAUUGGACAAUGGGCGAAAGCCUGAUCCAGCCAUGCCGCGUGUGUGAAGAAGGUCUUCGGAUUGUAAAGCACUUUAAGUUGGGAGGAAGGGCAGUAAGCGAAUACCUUGCUGUUUUGACGUUACCGACAGAAUAAGCACCGGCUAACUCUGUGCCAGCAGCCGCGGUAAUACAGAGGGUGCAAGCGUUAAUCGGAAUUACUGGGCGUAAAGCGCGCGUAGGUGGUUCGUUAAGUUGAAUGUGAAAGCCCCGGGCUCAACCUGGGAAAUGCAUCCAAAACUGGCGAGCUGGAGUAGGGCAGAGGGUGGUGGAAUUUCCUGUGUAGCGGUGAAAUGCGUAGAUAUAGGAAGGAACACAAGUGGCGAAGGCGACCACCUGGGCUCAUACUGACACUGAGGUGCGAAAGCGUGGGGAGCAAACAGG